AUUUUGUAUUAUGUCUAUUUGCGACAUUUUGCUCAUGCAAUUGUCUGUCCUGUCUCCUCUUAUGUGUAUAUGGUUGUAACUGGGAAUUUGAUUUCACUGUUAGUAGGGUUUUAAUUGAAUUGAGUACUGAUUGUAUUAUCGUGAUUUCGUGUUUUGGCCUUUUGUUCUUGAAUUUAUUAUGAAUCAAAAAGCUAAGCUUCUUCGAAUCAAAUAGGUUCAAUUGUUUAUGCAACAUGCUGAGAUUGCAAAUGAACACACUAUGUGUCCAUGUAAGUUGUUUUGAAUCCAAUUUGUGUAAUGCCAACCUGUUGUCGAACUUAUUGUGAGUCCAAAUUGGCACUUUGGUCUGCGUCAUUAGAAGAUAUUCCGUAAUUUAUUUCUUUUAUGGUUGUUUGUUCGCAAUCUUUGCAAUGAGUAUUAAUAAAUUUAUGAACUGUUUGUUUCAUUGUUUUGGUUUGUUUGUAGUAGACAACUUUAGAUAGUAUUUUACUCCAAAAUAUGCAAGACAGCAAACAAGUUUUCCAGGCAAUGUUCAAGGUAAGUUUUGAAUUACACCACGAUACUCUCUGGUGGUGUUUUUCAUUUGUGUUUGAUCGUUUGAAAUGUACCUGUAGGAUGAUAGUUUGACUGUUGGUGGGAACAUAAAAGCUAAAGGUGAAGUUUUAAAGGAGUUCUUUAAGGCGAGGUCUAAGCCACCAAACCUGAAUUGUCGAGUGGAGAGUUUUGCCAGAAUUUGUCAAACCUUUGAUUCACGUAGGAGGUGGGUUGCUGAAAUGGGCUUUGGUGGGCUGUUGUAUUUAUCUGGUGACAUGCAUCUUCCCAGGCAGCUGGGGUACUGGUUAGUGACCCGAUUGGAUCCUAUUAGUAAGAUGUUAUUAACCCCGGAUAGAAGGUGUUUAAAGUUGUCCAAAAAUCAAGUUCAUUGGGUACUUGGCAUCCCUAAUGGACCAAAGAUACUUCCAUCAUGCAAAACAUUGAAGGGGGUACGGCGGGAGAAGGUAAAAAACAUUAUUGCAAAAUACGGGACAACACGGAAUAAGGGACAAUCAACUGUAUAUGAUAAAGUAGGAAUUCCGGUGUACCCUGAGUUAUUGGAGAGGCUUGAGGGUUACUGGGAAGAGAACGAGGAGGAAGAGUUCAAGACGCUCUUUUUAUUGAUUUCUUUGGAAAUGCUCGUGUCCUACUUUGUCUACUAGACUGUCUUCUGACUUGUUACCUGCUUUGACAUGUGCUAUGGAAGCCGUUGAUUAUGAUUGGUGCACUCUGGUGCUAUCCAAGCUGCUUUCUAGUGUCCGUUCUUUUGCCCGUAGAUUUUAUUCUUAUGGUCAUGCCGGUGGAUGUGGUGGCUGCAUUUUAUUUGUCUUGAUUUAUUACUUGGACCGGCUUGAUAGAGAGGCUGUACAAUGGGGUGUUUUCCCCAGGUUGAAGGUGUGGUCAAUGAAGGAGAUAUUGAGUGCUAGCAA